AGGGUGCAGGGCGGAUGCCUUGGCACUAGGAGCCGAUGAAGGACGUGAUAAGCUGCGAUAAGCUUCGGGGAGUUGCACGUAAACUUUGAUCCGAAGAUUUCCGAAUGAGGAAACUCACUUAGAGUAAUGUCUAAGUAUCAUUAAGUGAAUACAUAGCUUAAUGAGGGGAACUCAGGGAACUGAAACAUCUAAGUACCUGAAGGAAGAGAAAGAAAUUCGAUUCCGUAAGUAGCGGCGAGCGAACGCGGAUUAGCCCAAACCAAUAAAGUUUUCUUUAUUGGGGUUGCGGACAUAUCAUAACGAAGAGGUAUCGUAAUUGAAGAGGUUUGGAAAGACCCACCACAGAAGGUAAUAGUCCUGUAUGUUAAACGAGAAGACUUUAGAUAUGAUCCAGAGUACCACGGGACACGUGAAACCCUGUGGGAAGCAGGAGGGACCACCCUCCAAGGCUAAAUACUACCUAGUGACCGAUAGCGUAUAGUACCGUGAGGGAAAGGUGAAAAGAACCCCGGGAGGGGAGUGAAAUAGAACCUGAAACCCUGCACUUACAAGCUGUGGAAGCACAUUUCUUGUGUGACCGCGUACUUUUUGUAGAACGGGCCAACGAGUUACGUUAAGUAGCAAGGUUAAGCACUUAAGGUGCGGAGCCGUAGCGAAAGCGAGUUUUAACUGAGCGUUCAGUUACUUGACGUAGACCCGAAACCGGGCGACCUACCCAUGAGCAGGAUGAAGCGAAAGUAAAAUUUCGUGGAGGUCCGAACCCACGAGCGUUGAAAAGCUCGGGGAUGACUUGUGGGUAGCGGUGAAAUUCCAAUCGAGCCCGGAGAUAGCUGGUUCUCCCCGAAAUAGCUUUAGGGCUAGCCUCAAGGUGAGAGAUACGGAGGUAGAGCACUGAAUGUCCUAGGGGGUAUUGCACCUACCGAAGACUAUCAAACUCCGAAUGCCGUCAUCUUAUACUUGGGAGUCAGACUGUGGGUGAUAAGAUUCAUAGUCGAAAGGGCAACAGCCCAGAUCGUCAGCUAAGGUCCCUAAAUGUAAGUUAAGUGGUAAAGGAUGUGGGAUUGCACAGACAACCAGGAUGUUGGCUUAGAAGCAGCCACUCAUUCAAAGAGUGCGUAAUAGCUCACUGGUCGAGUGAUCCUGCGCCGAAGAUUUCCGGGGCUAAAACUUACUACCGAAGCUACGGCAUCAGUAAUGAUGGGUAGGGGAGCUUCCCAUACGGGUUGAAGCAUGACCGUAAGGACAUGUGGACAGUAUGGGAGUGAGAAUGUUGGCAUGAGUAGCGAGAUGUGGGUGAGAAUCCCACAGGCCGUAAACCCAAGGUUUCCAGGGGAAGGUUCGUCCGCCCUGGGUUAGUCGGGACCUAAGCUGAGGCCGAAAGGCGUAGGUGAUGGACAACAGGUUGAUAUUCCUGUACUACCGAUAACCGUUUGAGAGAAGGGAUGACACAGUAGGAUAAGCUAAGCACACUGUUGGUUAUGUGUGCCCAAGCAUUGAGGCAGUCAAAGUAGGCAAAUCCGCUUUGAUAAUGCUGGGAUGUGAUGGGGAGCGAAAUUUAGUAGCGAAGUAGCUGAUUUCACACUGUCAAGAAAAGUCUCUAUCGAGGUUAAAGGUACCCGUACCGCAAACCGACACAGGUGGGUGAGGAGAGUAUCCUAAGGCCAGCGAGAGAACUGUUGUUAAGGAACUCGGCAAAAUGACCCCGUAACUUAGGGAUAAGGGGUGCCACCAUCAGGUGGCCGCAGAGAAUAGGCCCAAGCGACUGUUUACCAAAAACAUAGGUUUCUGCUAAGUCGCAAGACGAUGUAUAGGAGCUGACGCCUGCCCGGUGCUGGAAGGUUAAGGGGAUCUGUUAGAGCAAUCGAAGCAGUGAACUUAAGCCCCAGUAAACGGCGGCCGUAACUAUAACGGUCCUAAGGUAGCGAAAUUCCUUGUCGGGUAAGUUCCGACCCGCACGAAAGGCGUAACGAUUUGGGCACUGUCUCAACAACAGACUCGGUGAAAUUGUAAUUCCGGUGAAGAUGCCGGAUACCUGCGACAGGACGGAAAGACCCCAUGGAGCUUUACUGUAGCUUGACAUUGGGUCUUGGUACUACAUGUACAGGAUAGGUGGGAGGCUUUGAAACCAGGACGCCAGUUUUGGCGGAGCCAUCCUUGGGAUACCACCCUUGUAGUACUGGGACUCUAACCAUAGGCCAUGAAUCUGGUCUUGGGACACUGUCAGGUGGGCAGUUUGACUGGGGCGGUCGCCUCCCAAAAGGUAACGGAGGCGCUCAAAGGUUCUCUCAGUACGGUCGGAAAUCGUACGUAGAGUGUAAAGGCAAAAGAGAGCUUGAUUGCAAGACAUACAGGUCGAGCAAGGAUGAAAAUCGGACUUAGUGAUCCGGUGGUUCUGCGUGGAAGGGCCAUCGCUCAACGGAUAAAAGCUACCCUGGGGAUAACAGGCUUAUCUCCCCCAAGAGUCCACAUCGACGGGGAGGUUUGGCACCUCGAUGUCGGCUCAUCACAUCCUGGGGCUGUAGUAGGUCCCAAGGGUUGGGCUGUUCGCCCAUUAAAGUGGUACGCGAGCUGGGUUCAGAACGUCGUGAGACAGUUCGGUCCCUAUCCGUCGCAGGCGUAGGAAAUUUGAGAAGACCUGUCCUUAGUACGAGAGGACCGGGAUGGACGUACCUCUGGUGUACCAGUUGUCCUGCCAAGGGCAUGGCUGGGUAGCUAUGU
rnacentral:rRNA from 1 species